rnacentral:rRNA from 1 species
CUACGGGUCGCUGCAGGCGAGAAAACUUUGCAAUGUGCGAAAGCACGACAAGGUUAAUCCGAGUGGUUUCUGCUAAAGGAACCUUUUGACAGUCCUAGAAACACUGUUGAAUAAGGGGUGGGCAAGUUCUGGUGUCAGCCGCCGCGGUAAAACCAGCACCUCAAGUGGUCAGGAUGAUUAUUGGGCCUAAAGCAUCCGUAGCCGGCUCUGUAAGUUUUCGGUGAAAUCUGUACGCUCAACGUACAGGCUGCCGGGAAUACUGCAGAGCUAGGGAGUGGGAGAGGUAGACGGUACUCGGUAGGAAGGGGUAAAAUCCUUUGAUCAAUUGAUGACCACCUGUGGCGAAGGCGGUCUACCAGAACACGUCCGACGGUGAGGGAUGAAAGCUGGGGGAGCAAACCGGAUUAGAUACCCCUGUAGUC